UGCCAUUUCCAGAGAGAACAAACUGAAAUUGAACCGCUAACCUCCUUGUGCGGUUGUGCUGGUCCUCGCUGACCGGUCAGUCCGCCGGGGAGGCGAAAGAGAAAAUGAACAAGUCACCUGUGGCGAUUCGCCGAUUCCAAACGGCUCUCGACUUCCCGUCAAGAUGAGGGCGCGCGGCGCGCUCGUGGCGUUAAACGACGGGGGUAGAUGCUCGGGAGCUGUUCGACGGAAUGCCCAACCGGCACCAAAUACUACGGCUUACUAACGGACCGGCCCGCACUUCAGGCUGCUAGCUAUCGGAGGAGAAGAGCAAAAUGCAAUCGAAGAACGAAGGAGAAGAUGCGGCUGUUCAGGACUCCACCAGAGGCAGGCCACACACAACAGAAUCUGCAAAGCUAGGCCCCAAGACUGGUCAAGAUUAAAUGGCAAACUGAGCCAUCAGCAGCAAGGCAACUAGUAGGAUCGGAGCCGAUUGCUCUUAUAUAUGGUGCUAUCAGCUACGCCGAGGCAAGCGAGAGCGAGUCGAUGUCAUGUGGCUGACGCAGUAUGAGCCGCUCACUGGACACUGGUGAGUCUGACGAGGCUCCAACGUUGAUAGCUAGCGACUGCACGAAGGCUAAGGACAAAACGAGAUGAAGAGCAGAGCUGCAGAGGCGUCGUUCAGAGGUUGCCAUCGCCGCUUGUGUACUGACAAGUUUGGAUCCCCGUAGUUGCGGUUGGGUUGCCUUGCCUGCCGGCGACAUAUUCCUAAAUCCCUACCUUCUACUGUCGUGGCUGCUAGUAAUACAUGCUUUGCGGCAUUGUUUAUGUCAGUUGGUGCAUUUGGAGUCGCGUUUGUGUGUGUCUUAUACAUACGAGCAUCUACUUUAUUUGCGAUAAUCUUGUAUUUUCUGCUAGUUUGGAUAAGCUUUAAAAAUAUAAGGUCCAGUUUGUUUC